AUCACUUAUUGACCUUUUAGUCAAGAUUAAGUGCAGUAUCUGUCUUUGCCAGUUAAUAUGUGAUAUGUCCUCUAUUUGAGGACAAUAUAUUAAAUGGAUUUUUAGAAAUAAAAGACAGACUAGGAGCUUGCUCCAUCCAUUCCAUGCCUUCAUGUUUUGACCUGGUAUUGCAAUACAAUUUAAGUAAUACAAUAAUU
rnacentral:snRNA from 1 species